rnacentral:rRNA from 1 species
GACGAACGCUGGCGGCGUGCUUAACACAUGCAAGUCGAGCGGAAAGGCCUCUUCGGGGGUACUCGAGCGGCGAACGGGUGAGUAACACGUGAGUAAUCUGCCCUUCACUCUGGGAUAGCCACCGGAAACGGUGAUUAAUACCGGAUACGACACGUCCAGGCAUCAGGUGCGUGUGGAAACUUUUUGGGUGGGGGAUGUGCUCGCGGCCUAUCAGCUUGUUGGUGGGGUAAUGGCCUACCAAGGCUUCGACGGGUAGCCGGCCUGAGAGGGUGACCGGCCACACUGGGACUGAGACACGGCCCAGACUCCUACGGGAGGCAGCAGUGGGGAAUAUUGGACAAUGGGCGGAAGCCUGAUCCAGCAACGCCGCGUGAGGGAUGACGGCCUUCGGGUUGUAAACCUCUUUCAGCACCGACGAAGCGCAAGUGACGGUAGGUGCAGAAGAAGGACCGGCCAACUACGUGCCAGCAGCCGCAGUAACAC